AGAACAUUCAUUUCAGUGUGAGAAAACAGUGAUGCAGGUCUAUAGACAGAACAUUCAUUUCAGUGUGAGAAAACAGUGAUGCAGGUCUAUAGACAGAACAUUCAUUUCAGUGUGAGAAAACAGUGAUGCAGGUCUACAGACAGAACAUUCAUUUCAGUGUGAGAAUACAGUGAUGCAGGUCUACAGACAGAACAUUCAUUUCAGUGUGAGAAAACAGUGAUGCAGGUCUAUAGACAGAACAUUCAUUUCAGUGUGAGAAAACAGUGAUGCAGGUCUAUAGACAGAACAUUCAUUUCAGUGUGAGAAAACAGUGAUGCAGGUCUAUAGACAGAACAUUCAUUUCAGUGUGAGAAAACAGUGAUGCAGGUCUAUAGACAGAACAUUCAUUUCAGUGUGAGAAAACAGUGAUGCAGGUCUAUAGACAGAACAUUCAUUUCAUAAGAAAGCCAUUCGUCAAUAAUUCGAUAUCAACAGUUGAUCUCCAAAGAGAGUGGUCUCUGAAUCUAAACAAAACACAUUUGAUGUUGUUACAAAGUCUGCAUCCCAAAUAACACCCUAUUCCCUACAUAGUGCACUACUUUAGACAAGAGCUCUAUGACACCCUAUUCCCUACAUAGUGCACUACUUUAGACAAGAGCUCUAUGGCACCCUAUUCCCUACAUAGUGCACUACUUUAGACCAGAGCUCUAUGACACCCUAUUCCCUACAUAGUGCACUACUUUAGACCAGAGCUCUAUGACACACUAUUCCCUACAUAGUGCACUACUUUAGACCAGAGCUCUAUGGCACCCUAUUCCCUACAUAGUGCACUACUUUAGACCAGAGCUCUAUGGCACCCUAUUCCCUACAUAGUGCACGACCUUUGACCAGGUAGUGUCUUUAUAUAGGGAACUAAAGUAGUGUCUUUAUAUAGGGAACUAAAGUAGUGUCUUUAUAUAGGGAACUAAAGUAGUGUCUUUAUAUAGGGAACUAAAGUAGUGUCUUUAUAUAGGGAACUAAAGUAGUGUCUUUAUAUAGGGACCUAAAGUAGUGUCUUUAUAUAGGGAACUAAAGUAGUGUCU